rnacentral:rRNA from 1 species
GACGAACGCUGGCGGCGUGCCUAAUACAUGCAAGUCGAGCGGAAUGAUGAAGAAGCUUGCUUCUUCUGAUUUUAGCGGCGGACGGGUGAGUAACACGUGGGCAACCUACCUUGUAGAUUGGGAUAACUCCGGGAAACCGGGGCUAAUACCGAAUAAUCCAUUUUGCUUCAUGGCGAGAUGUUGAAAGACGGUUUCGGCUGUCACUACAAGAUGGGCCCGCGGCGCAUUAGCUAGUUGGUAGGGUAAUGGCCUGCCAAGGCGACGAUGCGUAGCCGACCUGAGAGGGUGAUCGGCCACACUGGGACUGAGACACGGCCCAGACUCCUACGGGAGGUAGCAGUAGGGAAUCUUCCACAAUGGACGAAAGUCUGAUGGAACAACGCCGCGUGAGUGAAGAAGGUUUUCGGAUCGUAAAACUCUGUUGUAAGGGAAGAACACGUACGAGAGUAACUGCUCGUACCUUGACGGUACCUUAUUAGAAAGCCACGGCUAACUACGUG